UACUUGUUUAUCAGAAAAUCUCUUUAUCGGUGACUUAUUGUGGGAAUUCCGUACAUGGACUGUCUUUGACGUAAUUUUGCUGUCGCAAUUUCUUCACCUUUAUCUGAAAGUGCAAUACUAUAUAAAGCGUUGAUUUCAUUUAGUUAUCCAGAAAAGGAUAAAUUCAAACGUAAGCGAUACUUUCCAGUUAUUUGAAAUCUCACUGACACCAUGAUGCGUUCCACAUUUAUUCUCUUGUUCCUGGUCGCCUCCAUGUUUACAACGGUCCUGACAGCAUCGUGUCCAAGUCACUGCUACACCGCCAGUUCUACGUGCAUCAACAACUGUUACAACUCCAUAUCAACUAUCAUCGGCAACAUCGGGAAACGUGACGUCAUGGAAGCUAAAUCACGUCAAAGAAGAUACAAUUGUUAUGAUAUAUGUAUGUCCAUGUACAAUGCCUGCUGUGGAACAAGUUAAAUUGAAUAUUAUUUUGUGAUGACAACCGCAUGAUCAAAACGAUUUCUGUUAUACGGAAUGAAUAAAGAGUAUUUAUAAAUA